rnacentral:rRNA from 1 species
CAGUCGCCGCGGUAAUGCGGAGGGUGCAAGCGUUAAUCGGAAUUACUGGGCGUAAAGCGUGCGUAGGCGGUUCGUUAAGUCUGUCGUGAAAGCCCCGGGCUCAACCUGGGAAUGGCAAUGGAUACUGGCGAGCUAGAGUGUGUCAGAGGAUGGUGGAAUUCCCGGUGUAGCGGUGAAAUGCGUAGAGAUCGGGAGGAACAUCAGUGGCGAAGGCGGCCAUCUGGGACAACACUGACGCUGAGGCACGAAAGCGUGGGGAGCAAACAGGAUUAGAUACCCCCGUAGUCCCUGUCUCUUAUAC